UGCAUAAGUGCAUUAUUGUCUGAUCAUUGUCUGUGUGUGUAGUCUGCUAAUCCUGUUUGAAAUUGACUUGACUGGCUUGACUGUUCAUGUUUUCGUGCAUGUUAGUAGAUUUCUGUAUGUUUCAAAUAUUCUAAACUAUGUAAAGUUUUUGAUGAUUAGACGUAUAAUUCAAUCUUUAGUUUCUAGCCUCAAUAAAUUUUCUAUUCAUGAGGAAAUGUCGUUUUACGCAGUUGCCAGGGGAAGGAGAGUGGGCAUCUAUCCGAGGCUGAAUGUCAAUCUCAAAUACAAUGCUACCCUGGUGCACAGUCCUUCCCCACAAGCUGCAAGCUGAAGGUUUCAUCCAACAAUGUAACUCAAGCAUGACACUCAAGAAAUACUGCCAGUUAAACCCAGGGCAUCCUAACUUCCAAAGAUUUCUGAUGGUUUGAAGAAAUUUGAAAUCUCAUUUUCUGUAAGUGGAAGUCAAUCUCCUACUGCAAAAGCAUUUACUUCUGGAUCUCAGUUAAAGUAUUAUUAUGCUGUAGCCAUUGGUAAAAUGUUGGCAUUUAUUCUGCUUGGGCAGAGUACAAGGCGCAGUUAGAUGGUUGUGGAUUUACCAGAUAUAGAAAGUUUUAAAUGCACAGAAAGAAGCUGAACAGUUCAUUCAUGGAAAUCAAAUUCAAAAGGGAGUCAGAGCCUCCAAUUCUCAAUAUAGAAAAUCUCUAUUUUCAAUUGAGUAAUAUUCCUGCCAUUCCUAGUAUUAAAGGCAUUUGUGUUCAAAAUUUAUCGUCAGUUUCUUUUGGAUACCAUACUAUCCAACAAGAUGAAGAUGGCUUCAUAUACCCAUCGCUCAAUCAAUCUACAAAUCCAUACUUUGAUUUUCCUACGGCGCUAUCUCCAAGAAGAAUUAUUUUUACCGCCAAAUCAUUUGAUUUACCAGUGGCUUCAUAAUCUAUACCAAUGUUGCUAUCACACAUGAUUUCCAUCGCGAAUACAAAUUGUUAAUCCAAACCAACGAUUUUGAAAAAACUUUUCCUGUGUUUACUUUCCACAUUGCCAUAGCAACAUGUCCUUUAACAAUAGCGCCAAACCGUUUUCCGUGUAAAAGAAGGAAAUGUCUUGCGGCUGUGCGCGUCAUUCCGAUCAUUCAUUAACAAUAAUUAUUUUUUUCCUGGAGCUAGCAUUUGCUACAUUGCAGACGUUUUUUAAAAUAUAAAUUGAUUAAAUGAAAAGACGAGCGAUUGGGGUCGUUACUGUAGUAGUAGGCCUUGUCGAGUGGCAAAAUAAUUCAACUGCGAUUUCCAUACAUUUAAUCCCACUAGAUUGAGGGAGUUUUUUUUUUAUGUAUUAUACUAUGAGAAGUCUCAUGUAUGUGUACUAAAUAAUAUGAUACAUUGGGACUGAGAGACAAGUUUACACAUUUUCUUUCACAUUUGCAACACCAACUCCAACCAUAAGGCCAACAACUGUAAAUCCUUGUGCUGCAAUCCUGAGCCUCAUCAUUUUUUGUGACAUUUGGGGUCUCCUAAUGAAUCAAUU